rnacentral:rRNA from 1 species
AUUAUAACUUCAAAAUCUAGAAUUGUCUCUUAUUAAUGAUUCGGAAAUAGAAAAAACUUGGUUAUGUUAUUAUUCUUCGUUGGUUCGUUUAAUGGAAAACACUUUGCUACAAGAAAUAAUGGAAAUUUUAUAACGAAUUUAAUAAAAUGUUUUUAUCAUUAUAUAUAAAGAAUUAAUGGCAAGAAAAAGUUAUAUACAACCUCAACUCAUAUGGGACUACCUCCUGAAUUUAAGCAUAUUAAUUAGGGGAGGAAAAGAAACUAACAAGGAUUUUCUUAGUAGCGGCGAGCGAAAAGAAAACAGUUCAGCACCAAGUCACUUUGUCUAUAUGGCAAAUGUGAGAUGCAAUGUAUAGAGCGUCAAUAUUCUAGUAUGAGAAAUUAACGAUUUAGGUCCUUCUUAAAUGAGGCCAUUUACCCAUAGAUGGUGGCAGGCCCGUACAACGUUAAUGAUUACUAGAUGAUGUUUCCAAAGAGUCGUGUUGCUAAAACUAAAUAUAACCAUGAGACCGAGGGAACAACAAGUACCGUGAGGGAAAGUUGAAAAGAACUCUGAAUAGAGAGUUAAACAGUACGUGAAACUGCUUCGAGGUUAAGCCCGAUGAACCUGAAUAUCCGUUAUGGAAAAUUCAUCAUUAAAAUUGUAAUAUUUAAAUAAUAUUACGAGGAUAGUGUGCAUUUUUUCCAUAUAAGGGCAUUGUAAUCUAUUAGCAUAUACCAAAUAAUUAUCAUUGAUUUUUGUGUUUAUUAUAUGCACUUGUAUGAUUAACAAUGCGAAAGAUUCAGGAUACCUUCGGGACCCGUCUUGAAACACGGACCAAGGAGUCUAACAUAUGUGCAAGUUAUUGGGAUAUAAACCUAAUACCGUAAUUAACUUGACUAAUAAUGGGAUUAGUUUUGUAACUAUUUAUAGCACAAUCCCGGGGCGUUCUAUAUAGUUAUGUAUAAUGUUUAUUUAUAUUAUUUAUGCCUCUAACUGGAACGUACCUUGAGCAUAUAUGCUGUGACCCGAAAGAUGGUGAACUAUACUUGAUCAGGUUGAAGUCAGAGGAAACCCUGAUGGAAGACCGAAACAGUUCUGACGUGCAAAUCGAUUGUCAGAAUUGAGUAUAGGAGUGAAAGAACAAUCGAACCAUCUAGUAGCUAGUUCCUUCCGAAGUAUCCCUCAGGAUAGCUGGGUCAUUUUAAUAUUAUAUAAAAUAAUCUUAUCUUGUAAAGCGAAUGAUUAGAGGCAGAUAUCAUGAAAGGCGUUGCUUGCUUAAAACAGCAGGACGGUGAUCAUGGAAGUCGAAAACCGCUAAGGAAUUUUUGAUACUCACCUGCCGUAGCAACUAGCCCUUAAAAUGGAUGGCGCUUAAUUUGUAUACCUAUACAUUACCGCUAAAGUAGAUGAUUUAUAUUACUUGUGAUAUACAUUUUGAAACUUUAGUGAAUACGAAGGUACAAUGAUAUGCGUAGAAGUGUUUGGCGUUAGCCUGCAUGGAGCUGCCAUUGGUACAGAUCUCGGUGGUAGUAGCAAAUAAUCGAUAGAAUAAUGUAGGUAUGGGAAGUCGGCAAUUUAGAUCCGUAACUUGGGGAUAAGGAUUGGAUCUGAAGAUUUAUAUAGUCGAGCUUGAUUGGGAAACAAUAACAUGGUUUAUGUUCUCGAUCUGGGUAAAUAGAGUUUCUAGAAUUUAUGUUAGUUACUUGUUCCCCGGAUAGUUUAGUUACGUAGCCAAUUGUGGAACUGUCUUGCUAAAAUUUUUAAGAAUACUUUUUGGGGGAAACCAAUUAGUUCUUAUUAAUUAUAACGGUUAUCAAUUAACAAUCAAUUCAGAACUGGCACGGACUUGGGGAAUCCGACUGUCUAAUUAAAACAAAGCAUUGUGAUGGCCCUAGCGGGUGUUGACACAAUGUGAUUUCUGCCCAGUGCUCUGAAUGUCAAAGUGAAGUAAUUCAACGGCGGGAGUAACUAUGACUCUCUUAAGGUAGCCAAAUGCCCGGCAAGCAAGCACUCGAAUUGCUACCGGGGUGGUUGCUAUGUACCUUGAUAUAGCUUCCAGGCCGGGACGUUUUGUCUAGCGUAUCUGGACACAUGCAUCAUAUGCUCACUUGUGGGUGUAUAGGGUGCCGUGGUUGUAAUCCCUUCAAUGUGGAACACGCCACUUAAAACAAGUUCGGAGGGAUCCGAUUCAUACUCUGUCCGUAUCUACUAUCUAGCGAAACCACAGCCAAGGGAACGGGCUUGGAAUAAUUAGCGGGGAAAGAAGAAUGCAUUUAUGUAUUUUUGAUUUGAAAAUUUUGUAUAACUCCAAUUACUCAGGUAUGAUCCAAUUCAAGGACAUUGCCAGGUAGGGAGUUUGACUGGGGCGGUACAUCUCUCAAAUAAUAACGGAGGUGUCCCAAGGCCAGCUCAGUGCGGACAGAAACCACAUAUGGAGCAAAAGAGCAAAUGCUGACUUGAUCUCGGUGUUCAGUACACACAGGGACAGCAAAAGCUCGGCCUAUCGAUCCUUUUCGUUUAAAGAGUCGUUAACAAGAGGUGUCAGAAAAGUUACCAUAGGGAUAAUUGGCUUGUGGCGACCAAGCGUUUAUAGUGAUCAUUGUGAAGGAAAAUUCACCAAGCGUUGGAUUGUUCACCCAUGCAAGAGAACGUGAGCUGGGUUUCGACCGUCGUGAGACAGGUUAGUAUUACCUUAUUAAUGACAAAACGUUGUUGCGACGAGGGGCAAUUUUCAUUGUAUGGCUUCUAAACCAUUUAAAGUUUAUAAUUUACUUUAUAAAAGACAAUGGAUGUGAUGCCAAUGUAAUUUGUAACAUAGUAAAUUGGGAGGAUCUUCGAUCACCUGAUGCAGCGCUAGUUACAUAUAAAAGCAUUAUUUAAUAGAAUGACAAAGCCUAGAAUCAAUUGUAAACGACUUUUGUAACAGGCAAGGUGUUGUAAGUGGUUGAGCAGCUGCCAUACUGCGACCCACUGAAGCUUAUCCUUUGCUU